rnacentral:tRNA from 1 species
UCCUGGUUGGCUCGGUUGGUAGAGCGCUCCACUGGAAAUGCAAAGGUCCGUGGUUCGAUACCCGGACCAGGCG